rnacentral:lncRNA from 1 species
AUAUUGAACUGCUAUAGUCAUCUGGUCCAAUUUAAGCAAAUACCAUAAAAUUAACUUUAAAACGCUUUUGUGAAAUUGUAAUGCAUUAAAUUAAGAAAUGGGCCUAUAUAUAUUUUAUUCGGAAUGCGUAGGCUAAGCAGAAUUAUAUAGGGCCUACAAUUUGUUUUUAUCUUUCACUUUCUACAGAUGACAUCAAAACGAGGCAAAUAUGAUGCCUGGGAAGAAGCGUUGAUGGAAAGUGCUUUCACUGCCUAUAGAAGUGGGGACAUGGGGCUAAAGAGUGCAGCUCGCACCUAUAAUAUCCCGAAAGCUAAAUUAAAGAGGCGCAUUGAUGGUACCAAUAUUAAUGCUGUAGAGCACAAGCAAGCAUUUGGAAGAACUGGUGGCCUUCCUGCAGAUAUUGAAAAUAACAUGGUGGGAUGGCUUUGCAAAUUGUGCAAACAGGAC